rnacentral:rRNA from 1 species
AGUCACUGACAUUAGAUACCCCGGUAGUCCAGGGUGUAAACGCUGCAGACUUGGUGUUGGAAGCCCUUUGGGGGCAUUCAGUGCCGGAGAGAAGUUGUUAAGCCUGCUACUUGGGGAGUACGUCCGCAAGGAUGAAACUUAAAGGAAUUGGCGGGGGAGCACCGCAACGGGAGGAGCGUGCGGUUUAAUUGGAUUCAACACCGUAAACUCACCAGGGAAGACUGUUACAUGAAGGCCGAGAUGAAGACUCUGCUAGAUUUUCAG